UCUUGGACAAUGGGGGCAACCCUGAUCCAGCGAUGCCGCGUGGGUGAAGAAGGCCUUCGGGUUGUAAAGCCCUUUAGGUUAGGAAGAAGUGGUGUUGUUGAUAAGACGAUAUCAUUGACGGUACUAACAGAAUAAGCACCGGCAAACUCUGUGCCAGCAGCCGCGGUAAUACAGAGGGUGCGAGCGUUAAUCGAAGUUACUGGGCGUAAAGGGUGCGUAGGUGGUUUAGAGAGUGUGAUGUGAAAGCCCCGGGCUUAACCUGGGAAGCGCAUCGCAAACGCCUAAACUGGAGUGCAGGAGAGGGUGGCGGAAUUUCCGGUGUAGCGGUGAAAUGCGUAGAUAUCGGAAGGAACGCCGGUGGCGAAGGCGGCUACCUGGACUGACACUGACACUGAGGCACGAAA
rnacentral:rRNA from 1 species